GUGUUAGCCGCCGCGGUAAUACAGAGGGUGCGAGCGUUAAUCGGAAUUACUGGGCGUAAAGCGUGCGUAGGCGGCUAAAUAAGUCCCAUGUGAAAUCCGGGAGCUUAACUUGGCUAUUGCAUUCGAUACUGGGAAGCUAGAGUGUGGGAGAGGAUGGUAGAAUUCCAGGUGUAGCGGUGAAAUGCGUAGAGAUCUGGAGGAAUACCGAUGGCGAAGGCGGCCAUCUGGCCUAACACUGACGCUGAGGUGCGAAAGCAUGGGGAGCAAACAGG
rnacentral:rRNA from 1 species